rfam:Pseudogymnoascus pannorum VKM F-4515 (FW-2607) contig_107, whole genome shotgun sequence.
AUAAGUUAAGGUGCCGGAAUAUAAGCUCAUCAGACACCACAAAAGGUGUCAGUUCUUCUAGACAGCAGGACGGUGGCCAUGGAAGUCGGAAUCCGCAAAGGAGUGUGUAACAACUCAUAUUGUCAUGUGAUUGUUGUACUAUACAAUUGUUAUUUAGCGAGGCCUGU